GAUGAACGCUGGCGGCGCGCCUAACACAUGCAAGUCGAACGGCACCCCUCCUCGGAGGGAAGCGAGUGGCGAACGGCUGAGUAACACGUGGAGAACCUGCCCCCUCCCCCGGGAUAGCCGCCCGAAAGGACGGGUAAUACCGGAUACCCCGGGGUGCCGCAUGGCACCCCGGCUAAAGCCCCGACGGGAGGGGAUGGCUCCGCGGCCCAUCAGGUAGACGGCGGGGUGACGGCCCACCGUGCCGACAACGGGUAGCCGGGUUGAGAGACCGACCGGCCAGAUUGGGACUGAGACACGGCCCAGACUCCUACGGGAGGCAGCAGUGGGGAAUCUUGCGCAAUGGGGGGAACCCUGACGCAGCGACGCCGCGUGCGGGACGGAGGCCCUCGGGUCGUAAACCGCUUUCAGCAGGGAAGAGUCAAGACUGUACCUGCAGAAGAAGCCCCGGCUAACUACGUG
rnacentral:rRNA from 1 species